rnacentral:misc_RNA from 1 species
GUGCCUAUCCGUGAAGUGAGGCAAUCAGACUUUGGAGAUCAGGCAAGAAUCAAAAUGUACUUUCCCAGGAAGGGCUCUCAAUUUACACCUUCACAUCAUUCCCUUGAUUUUUAUUGGAAGGAUUAUUGCCCUAUGGUUUUCAGAUAUUUGAGAGAGUUGUUCAAGCUGGAUGCUGCAGACUAUAUGAUGUCCAUCUGUGGUGAUGAUGGUCUGAGAGAGCUUUCAUCUCCUGGAAAGAGUGGCAGCCUUUUUUAUCUUUCUCGUGAUGAUAGAUUUGUGAUCAAGACUUUAAAGAAGUCUGAGCUCAAGGCUCUGCUCAAGAUGCUUCCUGAUUACUAUAAACAUGUAAAGGAACAUGACAACACACUCAUAACAAAAGUUUUUGGGGUGCACAGGAUAUCAUUGAAACGUGGAAAAAAGGUCCGCUUUGUAGUCAUGGGGAAUAUGUUUUGUACUGAAUUAAGAAUACAUCGCCGGUAUGAUUUGAAAGGUUCUUCUCAUGGGAGACUUACGAAGAAGGAUCGGGUUGAUGAGACGACUACAUUAAAAGACCUCGAUUUAACAUAUGAGUUUCAUAUGGACAAGUUAUUACGUGAGGCACUAUUCAAACAAUUAUCUUUAGACUGCAGAUUUUUGGAAUCUCAGAACAUUAUAGACUAUAGCCUUCUACUGGGAUUACAUUUUAGAGCUCCUGAGAAUCUAAUGUCUCUUUUAGAGCCACCUGAUUCUCUGCACAAAGUCGAAACUGAUCCUGAUCACGUUGAAGGUGGGAUAUCUCAGGGGGAGCUCUCAAUUCCACCAAGAGGUUUGCUUUUAGUCACGCAUGAACCCAGUUCUGUCAAUGUUACACCAGGUCCUCAUAUAAGAGGGAGUACUCUGAGAGCCAUGUCCGUUGGUGACCAGGAGGUUGAUCUUCUUUUGCCUGGUACUGGAAGAUUAAGGGUACAAUUAGGUGUAAACAUGCCAGCCCAAGCAAACCAAAAAGUGAUGCAGGAUGAGGCAGCUUCAGUCCAAGUUGAACUCUUUGAGGUAUAUGAUGUUGUUCUAUAUCUCGGAAUAAUCGAUAUACUGCAAGAGUACAACAUGAAAAAGAAACUGGAGCACACCUACAAAUCGUUGAAAUUUGAUCCCAUGUCAAUCUCUGCAAUUGAACCCAAGAUUUAUUCGAAACGUUUCCUCAGUUUCUUGGAGAAAGUGUUCCCUGUUGAACCAUGAAAAGUCUUUAAUAUUUAUCUUGCAAAUAUUUUCCCUCUGUCCAGCUGGAUGGAAAAAAAAAAGAAGACCUUUUCAUGAUUCAUUGAAGAGCAAUUUUAUCACCACUCGAGUGUUCCAUUGUUAAUGUACCAUUUAGUUUAUUUGUACAGUUGACUCAAUACAACAGUUUUGUAGCCGAAAGGAUAUCUCCA